ACUUAAGCAUAUCAAUAAGCGGAGGAAAAGAAACCAACUGGGAUUGCCCUAGUAACGGCGAGUGAAGCGGCAACAGCUCAAAUUUGAAAUCUGGCUCCCUCUGGGGGUCCGAGUUGUAAUUUGCAGAGGGUGCUUUGGCGUUGGUGGCGGUCUAAGUUCCUUGGAACAGGACAUCGCAGAGGGUGAGAAUCCCGUUUGUGGUCGCCUACCUUCGCCGUGUAAAGCCCCUUCGACGAGUCGAGUUGUUUGGGAAUGCAGCUCUAAAUGGGAGGUAAAUUUCUUCUAAAGCUAAAUACUGGCCAGAGACCGAUAGCGCACAAGUAGAGUGAUCGAAAGAUGAAAAGCACUUUGGAAAGAGAGUCAAACAGCACGUGAAAUUGUUGAAAGGGAAGCGCUUGCAGCCAGACUUGCCCGUAGUUGCUCACCCAGGCUUUUGCCAGGGGCAUUCUUCUGCGGGCAGGCCAGCAUCAGUUUGGGCGGUCGGAUAAAGGCCUCUGUCACGUAUCUCCCUUCGGGGAGAACUUAUAGGGGAGGUGUAAUGCGACCAGCCCGGACUGAGGUCCGCGCAUCUGCUAGGAUGCUGGCGUAAUGGCUGUAAGCGGCCCGUCUUGAAACACGGACCAAGGAGUCUAACAUCUAUGCGAGUGUUUGGGUGUCAAGCCCGAGCGCGUAAUGAAAGUGAACGGAGGUGGGAACCCUUUGGGUGCACCAUCGACCGAUCCUGAUGUCUUCGGAUGGAUUUGAGUAAGAGCAUAGCUGUUGGGACCCGAAAGAUGGUGAACUAUGCUUGAAUAGGGUGAAGCCAGAGGAAACUCUGGUGGAGGCUCGCAGCGGUUCUGACGUGCAAAUC
rnacentral:rRNA from 1 species